rnacentral:rRNA from 1 species
UACGUAGGUGGCAAGCGUUGUCCGGAUUUAUUGGGCGUAAAGCGCGCGCAGGCGGUCUUUUAAGUCUGAUGUGAAAGCCCCCGGCUUAACCGGGGAGGGUCAUUGGAAACUGGAAGACUGGAGUGCAAAAGAGGAGAGUGGAAUUCCACGUGUAGCGGUGAAAUGCGUAGAUAUGUGGAGGAACACCAGUGGCGAAGGCGACUCUCUGGUCUGUAACUGACGCUGAGGCGCGAAAGCGUGGGGAGCAAACAGGAU